AUGUGAUCUGCCCUCCUUGGCCUCCCAAAGUACUGUGAUUACAUUAAAUUUAAAGCAAUAAAAAAUGUCAACUACAUUUUUGUCAACAGAGCAACAGAUAAAAGUGUCUAGGUAUCUUGUGUGGUGUCCACUGAAGACUUUGUAAAUAUAGUUAUACACUGGUACCAGCAGAAACUGAAUCUAAAUUAUGAGCCAUCUGACAAAUAUCACUUCAAUAACAAGCCCCAGUUCGAGUUUGCUUAGGUGAGAAAAACAAGAAACUUGAGGCAAGAACAAAUUUUCAAAUGUCUACUUCAGUCUUUACCAUAAACUUCAUAGGAAAGGAAGAUGAGGCCAUUUACUACUGCACUGCUUAGGACC